AAAAUUCUGACUCAAGUCUGUUGGGAAAUUACAUGCAUUGGCUCAAUCUGAAAAUUUAGUGGGACCUGCAAGCAAUAAAAUUGCACAAAACAAUUUGAAGCAUAUCAGCAAUUCUUUUUCAUAAAUAGCAAUUUAGAACCCAAAUAAGCCUAGAAUCUUCCUAGUCCCAUAUUCUGAUGGAGACUUGUCCCAAGUCCAAACCACAUAUUACUCUCACCAACGAAAGAGGGCACAAUGUAAAACAAAGACAUAGAGACAAUCACCAAGAAGAUAACACAAGAGCCCACACAUCGUACGCCACGUGGCAGAUUCACCUCUUUAUAAUCCUCUCUCCCUCACGGUUUCUACGACAUUUUCACAAAGCCACACCAACUCACUCACAAAAUCUGUAGAAUCAUCUUUCAACAAUGGCUUCCACUGCUCUCUCCAGCGCAAUCGUAAGCACCUCUUUCCUCCGCCGUCAACAGACACCAAUCAGCCUCAGAUCCCUCCCGUUUGCCAACACACAAUCUCUCUUCGGCCUCAAAUCUUCCACCGCUCGCGGCGGCCGCGUCACGGCCAUGGCUACCUACAAGGUCAAGUUCAUCACACCUGAGGGAGAACAAGAGGUCGAAUGCGAAGAAGAUGUCUACGUCCUCGACGCUGCUGAGGAAGCCGGACUCGACUUGCCCUACUCAUGCCGUGCCGGUUCUUGCUCAAGUUGCGCCGGGAAAGUCGUCUCUGGUUCUAUUGACCAGUCGGACCAGAGCUUCUUAGACGAUGAACAGAUGAGUGAGGGCUAUGUCUUGACCUGUGUGGCUUAUCCGACUUCUGAUGUCGUCAUCGAAACCCACAAAGAAGAAGCCAUUAUGUAAAAUUUUAAAGCUUUUUGAUGAAUUUCAUCAAAAGAGAAAUUACUUGAUGUUUAAGUCAUCUCUCUUGUUACUUCGCUAAUGUUGCCCUAAUUUGGCUCAUCCUUUUAUAAGAUCAAUCAAUAAUAACAAAUUUCAAUGUUUUGUUCUUCAUUUUGGUUGUUUUUUUGAAAUCUAAUGUCAAUUAUUUUCCACAC
rnacentral:lncRNA from 1 species